rnacentral:rRNA from 1 species
AUGCCCAGCGACGCCGCCCUCUCGCCGGCGCCGACCGGCAGGAACAACGGCAGCAAGAUGCAGAAGCUGCUAAAGUCGGCCUUCAAGCGCGGCGACUCCCCGGCCCAGGCGGCCGGGGAGGAGCCGGAGCUCAGCCCGUCCGCGUCCAGGGGUUCUGGCUCGGGCAGCGGGCGGACGUCGUCGGGGAGGCGUGUCGCCCGAGGCGACGACGUCGGCGACCGGUCCAGCCGCGAGAGCAUCGAGCUCGACGCUGAAGGUUCCAAGAACGACAAGAUGCUGGCGGCGCUGCGGGACUGGAAGAUCGCGUCGGCGUACGAGACGUUCCCGUGGGAGAAGAAGAUGAAGGAGCUGCUGCCGGUGCCGGAGUCGAGCCGGUUCCUGUCGCUGCUGCUGCUGCCCAAGGCCACGGACGGCACCCACACCCGCUACAACACGCUCGACGACACCCUCGCCCGCGCCGACGCCUGGCUCGCCUCGUCCCGCGCCUCCGGCGUCCCCGUCGAGCUCGCCAGCGUCCAGACGGAGGCGCUGCUCACCAAGAUCUCCGGCGAGACGGCGGUGUCCACGGUGAACAUGGGGUCCCUGUCCGACCUGGCCAACAUGUCCAACGUCAGCCUGUACGGGUUCGAGGACUACCACGGCGUGGACAUCGGCGUGGUGCGCGCGGUGCGGCUGUGGUACGCGCCGUCGGGCCCCGGCGGCGAGAUGGCGGUGGAGAUCGCGCUGCGGCAGGGGGACACCAGGCUCGGCUUCGCCAUCAGCCGGACCGAGGAGGGGUUCAUCUACGUGUCGUCGGUGGCGGACGCGAGCACGCCGGGCGUGGCGUCGACGCGGUCGGGGCUGCUCGAGCUGCACCGGGCGGCGAGGCGGGCGGGCAGGCUGCUGGUGGUGUCGAGGGUGGGAGGGGAGAAGGUGCUGCCAUGGAUGGUCUCCACCGCCGGCGACGUCAGGUGCUACGACACCGUGUCGCUGAGCCAGAAGCUUUCGCUCCACCGCCACGCGCUCCGCCCCAUCACGCUGCACUUCCUCACGUGGGACGAGAGCGCCCUCGCCCUGCCCCCGCCGCCGGCGCCGCCGCUGCUCAUGCUGUCGUCCGAAGGCGACGACGAGGAGAUCGAUGGCGACGGGCCGGAGAUCGCGGCCGGCAAGGGGGGCAAGGGCUCGUCCUUUAGGUUCCAGAACAUCGGACUCCCCGAUAGCUGGCUGUGA